GAUCAUGGCUCAGGAUGAAUGCUGGCGGCGCGCCUAACACAUGCAAGUCGAACGGCACCCACCUUCGGUGGAAGCGAGUGGCGAACGGCUGAGUAACACGUGGAGAACCUGCCCCCUCCCCCGGGAUAGCCGCCCGAAAGGACGGGUAAUACCGGAUACCCCGGGGUGCCGCAUGGCACCCCGGCUAAAGCCCCGACGGGAGGGGAUGGCUCCGCGGCCCAUCAGGUAGACGGCGGGGUGACGGCCACCGUGCCGACAACGGGUAGCCGGG
rnacentral:rRNA from 1 species